GGUCUUAGCCAUGCCACCGUGAACACGCCUGAUCUUGUCUGAUUUUGGAAGAUAAGCAGGGUCGGGCCUGGUUAGUACUUGGAUGGGAGACCACCCAGGAAGACCAGGUCAGUAGGUGUA
rnacentral:rRNA from 1 species